AGUGUCUGCUGUUCUGUCUCAGCUCUUCCGAACCUAUGAUCUCCACGAACAAGUUGAUAUUCAUGCCCGACGUGCUGUUGUGCUUCAUGCCCUCCCUGCCUAUUUGCACGAAGACACCUCUACCUUCAUCAAAACGUGGGAUAUGAUGCAUUCUGAUGAACCAGAUAUUAGUGAAGUGCCACUUGGACUCCUCCUGAUCAGAGCCAAUUCCAGCGAUGCAACAUUCUUCUGUCCUGAGAAGAUUGCAGUUUUGGUCAAGGGUAACAUGAUCAUUGAUUUCCCCACCCUGGCUGAUGCAUUUCUAGUAAUAUUUGGACUGACUUACACCCUGCAUCUAAGCUACCCAAAAUGUUUGGCCAACACAUUUGACUUUAUUCAGAAAGUGUUGAUGGGUCUGGAGGAUGGGAAGUUGAAGCCCAAAGUGCUGAGUCUCAAAAAUGAUCUUUUGGCAGCAGAAUAAUGUCCAGGGUUCCUACAUAGCCCUCAAGUGCCUGUUAAAGCAAGUAACUCAGUUUAUCAUUUUUCCAAGUCUGGAUAAGUUUAAAAAAAGAGAAUAGAAGCGAGAAAAUGUUGGCAUUUGCAUACUCUCAUUUCAUACUUGAUUAUCUAAAAGCCAAACAUCCAAAAUAAAAGGGGAAGGUGAUAAGGAGUUUUACAAGACUUUGUUUUAUGUUUCUAAAGAGGGAUUUAUCUAUUUAAGGUUUUAUUGGUCUGUUGUUGACAGCAUGAUUGCACUCUACAGAUGUGUAUAUUGGUUUAGUAAUAACCCUUUGCUGUUUUUGUAAUAACAGUAUUGGCAUAUUAAAAAGGUUCCCAAUAAUAUUCCAGUGUAUUAGCUGCACUGUAAUUUACUUUCAUUCAGUUUCCCCACCUGACAAUGCAGGAUUUUCUGUGUGUUUUUUCAUUUUCUUCUGUUUUUUUUUGUUUUGUUUUUUUUUAACAAAAAUGCCAUACUCAACUGUUAAUGGCAUCUGAAUAUUGUUGUAUUCAGAUUUCACAUGUUGUGAAAGUCUUUAUUUCUAAUAUUGUAACCUUGUGCCUAAACUUGACAUUUCUGAAAUUAUUCCCAGUAAUAUUUGGUGAAUUUGUCUUUGGGAUUGCCCGAGAUUUUUUUUUCUUUUCUGAACAUACAUGCAAGGAAAUUUAAUUUGUCAUUUAUUACUGUACUGCAUUUGUCAUACCGAAAGAGGAUCUCAGCUCUAUCCCCUUGCCUACACACAAGUAUUUUUGGUUCUCUGAAAAAACACAAAUGUUAAGACAUCGUGUCUUAACAA